AAACAACAGGGAUUGCCUUUAGUAACGGCGAGUGAAGCGGCAACAGCUCAAAUUUGAAAGCUGGCCUUCGGGUCCGCAUUGUAAUUUGUAGAGGAUGCUUUGGGUGAAACGCCAGUCUAAGUUCCUUGGAACAGGACGUCAUAGAGGGUGAGAAUCCCGUAUGUGACUGGAAAUGUUAACCUAUGUAAAGCUCCUUCGACGAGUCGAGUUGUUUGGGAAUGCAGCUCUAAAUGGGAGGUAAAUUUCUUCUAAAGCUAAAUAUUGGCGAGAGACCGAUAGCGCACAAGUAGAGUGAUCGAAAGAUGAAAAGCACUUUGGAAAGAGAGUUAAAAAAAGCACGUGAAUUGUUGAAAGGGAAGCGCUGCAAUCAGACUUGUUUAACUGUUCGGCCGGUCCUCCUGACCGGUUACUCAGUUUGGACCA
rnacentral:rRNA from 1 species